GACGAACGCUGGCGGCGUGCCUAAUACAUGCAAGUUGAGCGCUGAAGGUUGGUACUUGUACCAACUGGAUGAGCAGCGAACGGGUGAGUAACGCGUGGGGAAUCUGCCUUUGAGCGGGGGACAACAUUUGGAAACGAAUGCUAAUACCGCAUAAAAACUUUAAACACAAGUUUUAAGUUUGAAAGAUGCAAUUGCAUCACUCAAAGAUGAUCCCGCGUUGUAUUAGCUAGUUGGUGAGGUAAAGGCUCACCAAGGCGAUGAUACAUAGCCGACCUGAGAGGGUGAUCGGCCACAUUGGGACUGAGACACGGCCCAAACUCCUACGGGAAGCAGCAGUAGGGAAUCUUCGGCAAUGGACGAAAGUCUGACCGAGCAACGCCGCGUGAGUGAGGAAGGUUUUCGGAUCGUAAAACUCUGUUGGUAGAGAAGAACGUUGGUGAGAGUGGAAAGCUCAUCAAGUGACGGUAACUACCCAGAAAGGGACGGCUAACUACGUG
rnacentral:rRNA from 1 species